CUUUCUAUACUACUUUCAGUCAGCUUCUGUAAAUUUUAAAUUAUCCAAAUAUAAAAUAAAGAGCGGCAAACACAGCCCCUUUCAUUUCUCCCUCCUGAUCCUUUCCCUCAAUCCCUACUGAUGUGAACACCUCAACCCUUCUCUCCCACGUAACCCUAACUCUGAACCUCCACCGUUCUUCGCUCUCCCCACGACGUCCCACCAUUCUUCAUUCUUCUCUGUAUCGCACGUUCACUCGUAUUCACUAUCAAUUCCGCCAAGUACCUUAAGCACCAUCGAGACUAUUGUUCUUCAGACUCGUCGACACUGUAGUUCCAAAUGUUGCUUCCGUUUUCUCACUUGCAAGUUAUGCUCUGAUUGUAACAAAUCAAUGGAGAAUCAAUCAGGUCGCUGCAGCUGCAGAGGCGGUCAGCAGGGUCUUCUGUUGGGUCAAGAGGUAGGGCUGGGGCUGCUUUUUUUGUGUGGCCUGCUAAGUUUCCUCCAUCAAGCUCUUCCUUUUCUGUUUCACUCUGGUGUUUUUGUUUUCAGCCUGGCUUUUAGUUAGUUUUUGUGUGGUUUUGCUGUCAAAGCAUGGAUGGUUUAUGCAUUUCCCUUGGGGCCUGAUGUAGGCAGAUUUGCCGAUCCUGGUAUGUCUUAUGCUCGGG